rnacentral:misc_RNA from 1 species
AUGCCUACAAAAUUUACAAUUCUUAGCCUAUACUAUAAAAUCUAAGCUUGUAAUCAAUAGUGUGCAUCAUGGUGUAAGAAAAUUUAUAUGUUUAUCAACAAAAUUGAAGGAGAAGCAAGAAAUUUUUAAAGCAGAUGGAUGCUGCAGCUUCCAAAUCCUUCAAGAGCUAUAGUAAGUUAGAUGAACAAACCGAGGAAGCAUUUCGCCAGAGAAGCCGUAAACGUUUCAUUAUCAUUGCCGUCUCUUCCGUCGUGUUGCUCGUAAUCAUUGUUGGUGCGUUAGUAGGCACGUUAGCGCCAAUGAACAACAAAUCGAAAGAUGGAAAUUUGCCUUCUCCAACCGAGUCCAAUAUUAGAGCUAUGUGCAACGUUACAAGGUACCCUGACUCCUGCUAUUCGAGCAUGUCUUCUGCCCUUAGAUCCUCCUCCAAUGUUACCGAUCCUCAUAAUCCUGAACCGCACGAAUUGUUUUUGUUGUCUCUAAAGGUCGCACUCAAUGAGGUCAUAAGCCUCUCUUCUUUGCCUCAAAGGAUCAUUUCCUCUCAAAUGUAUAGCAAUGAGACUAAUGAUCCUCUAGUGCAGUCUGCAUUGCAUGCGUGCGAGAUCCUCUUUGCGGACGCCAUUGAUUACAUCGAGGAAUCCAUAUCAUCCAUUCAAGUGGGCCAGGAAGACAAGGGCAUGUUGGUCACCUCGAAAAUUGACGACGUCAGGACUUGGCUAAGCACAGCCAUAACGGAUCAGGAAACGUGCAUAGAUGGGUUUAAGGAUACAGGGAAACGCCUGAUCUUAACAGAUGAAGUGAGAUAUGCUAUGACGAACUCCACAAGAUUCACGAGUAACAGCUUGGCGAUUGCUUCCAACUUAUUGACCAUUCUUGAUAAUCUCUACCUACCAAUUCAUCGCAAGCUUUUAAGGGUACCUGAUGAGCACGGCCAUGUUGACGAUGGAUUUCCCACGUGGGUUCACAUCAGGGACAGAAGACUGCUCCUGGAGAAACCCAAACCCAAUCUAACAGUAGCAUGGGAUGGAAGUGGAGAUUUUAAGAGCAUAAGCGAGGCAGUGGAAUCCAUUCCUAAGAGGAGCAAGUCAAGAAUUGUUAUUUACGUAAAAGAGGGUUUAUAUUUGGGGAAUGUGACAGUAAGCAAGGAUUAUUGGAAUGUCAUGAUUUAUGGUGAUGGAAUGAAUAAAACCAUUGUCUCCGCCAGCCAAAACGUCGUGGAUGGCGUCUCCACCUUCCUCUCCGGUACAUGCAGUAAGUCUUUUGUCUAUAUCUUCUUCCAUCGGCUUGAAUCUUGACAGGCAACCAUUAAAUGAAUGUUGUUAGCUCUCUUUUUACAGUGAU